UUAAAUAUUAAAAUUUAAGGUGUUUUUAUUAAGGGAAAGAGGUGAAAAUCCUCUGCAGCCACCGCUACUGUGAGUAGGGAUGAAAUCUUUUUGUAAUCCACUGGUUUUUGCUGGGAAGGAAAAAGAAAGUAAGAUGAUCUACAAGCCAGGAGACCUGCCUUAAAUUUAGAACUAUU
rnacentral:ncRNA from 2 species